rnacentral:lncRNA from 1 species
CUGGAAAGCUUUGAAGGUUGGACUUCCUUGUCUUCACUGAGGGACUUUGGAGUUCCAAAAUGUUGCUUUCAAAUUUGGAAUUGUUCCUUCUCUUCGCUCCUGGGGUAAAAAUGGCAGGAUCCAUAGCUCAAAUGAGGCUAGGAAUCUGUCACUUGUUUUCUAUUGGUUCUUGUGGCAGACGGGAAAUAGAAGAAUCGUUCACC